CCUACGGGUGGCAGCAGUGAGGAAUAUUGGUCAAUGGACGAGAGUCUGAACCAGCCAAGUAGCGUGAAGGAUGACUGCCCUAUGGGUUGUAAACUUCUUUUAUAUGGGAAUAAAACGUUCCACGUGUGGGAUUUUGUAUGUACCAUAUGAAUAAGGAUCGGCUAACUCCGUGCCAGCAGCCGCGGUAAUACGGAGGAUCCGAGCGUUAACCGGAUUUAUUGGGUUUAAAGGGAGCGUAGGUGGAUUGUUAAGUCAGUUGUGAAAGUUUGCGGCUCAACCGUAAAAUUGCAGUUGAAACUGGCAGUCUUGAGUACAGUAGAGGUAGGCGGAAUGCGUGGUGUAGCGGUGAAAUGCUUAGAUAUCACGAAGAACUCCGAUUGCGAAGGCAGUUCACUGGACUGCAACUGACACUGAGGCUCGAAAGUGUGGGUAUCAAACAGGAUUAGAUACCCCUGUAGUC
rnacentral:rRNA from 1 species